UUGGCUUUGUGUCUGCUGAGCUAAUGGUGUCAGGAAAGCGAGUCAAACCUUAGCUGGUGAAGACGGACUUGUUUUCUCAGGGUCUCUUUAAAACCCUAUCUGGCUUGGAAGAUGCUCUGUUAUCAUAGGAGGACUGUGGUUGGUUGCUAGCUCUCAGAACGCUUGUGAGCACAGAAAACUUUCUUACCAGCUCAUCUCUUCAGCUCCUGCUCAGGUACUUCUACAUGCUGCAAAAUAUAUUGAGCACCCAUAGUUACAUCUGAAAAAUGUCAACAGAGAACACAAAAUGCGUUUUCCUGUGUUUGAGAGCCUUUUUAGUAAUUUGGAGUGGCAGCAGGAUGGCUGCAG